rnacentral:pre_miRNA from 1 species
CAACUACUCCCUCCGUCCCAAAAUUCUUGUCUUAGAUUUGUCUAGAUACGGAUGUAUCUAAUAAUAAAAUGUGACUUGAUACAUCCGUAUCUAGACAAAUCUAAGACAAGAAUUUUGGGACAGAGGAAGUACUUU